AUUGAACGCUGGCGGCAUGCCUUACACAUGCAAGUCGAACGGUAACGGGCCUUCGGGUGCCGCCGAGUGGCGAACGGGUGAGUAAUACAUCGGAACGUGCCCGAUCGCGGGGGAUAACGAGGCGAAAGCUUUGCUAAUACCUCAUACGAUCUACGGAUGAAAGCAGGGGACCGCAAGGCUUGGCGCGGACGGAGCGGCCGAUGGCAGAUUAGGUAGUUGGUGGGAUAAAAGCUUACCAAGCCGACGAUCUGUAGCUGGUCUGAGAGGAUGAUCAGCCACACUGGGACUGAGACACGGCCCAGACUCCUACGGGAGGCAGCAGUGGGGAAUUUUAGGCAAUGGGCGAAAGCCUGAUCCAGCAAUGCCGCGUGCAGGAUGAAGGCCUUCGGGUUGUAAACUGCUUUUGUACGGAACGAAAAGCCUUCUUUUAAUCCAGGAGGAUCAUGACGGUACCGUAAGAAUAAGCACCGGCUAACUACGUG
rnacentral:rRNA from 1 species